UAGUAAAAGACAUCAUGUUUUUUCAAGAACGUUAUAAACAUUUCAAGUUGGUUUUAUUUCCUAAAGCAAUCCAUAAUGGCCUCAUCAAAGUUCAAAAAUUCACCUUCUUUAAACAUUGAUUAAAAGGGUAAAACUAGUCACGACGUUACUGCAAUUCAAUAGACUUUAGCUUAAAAAAAAACAAUGUAAAAGAAACUGAUACAUAUACUAAUAUUUAUGGGUACAUGGCUAGAUUUAAUCGGAUUUAAUGGCCUCUCAUCGCUUCCUCUUCUUCUUUCAGGGCUCCUGCCGCCGAACAUGGGUCUGCCCCCGCUGGAAGCUUACGUGCUGUCCGUCCGUCUAUGUCCGUCCAAAUCUUGUAAUAGUAUUGUGCCAUUAUCUCACGCCUGAAAGGAUGGCAGUCGGGUUGAUUUGGCUGGGACAAACAUCCCUACGGAAACUCCCUACCUGGCUAGAAAGAGCUCUAUCUAUGGGGUAUGGAACUAGACCAACCAAAGCUAGACUUGGUCUUUUAAAAGAUAAGUAUAAACCAAAUAUAAUAAAAAUGCCUACCUAACAAAACUAAUUUAUUCUCUUCUAUUUUUAGAUAAUUUAUUCGUCCGUCCGUCAAUGUGUGGAGUAUAGGAGUAAGUCUAGGUAAGCUAUCACCUGGGGACACUGCUGAAUGUGAGUGCCUUGUUCUGGAAGUCCCACGAUGGUGCAGAAAGGAUGAGCCGGUGGUGAGCAAGCUGAGCGGUUGUUUUAAUCGUCUUUUUUUUUCCAAUUGAUUUUAGUUUAUAAUUAGUUCGUAAUGUAGUUCCUUUUUUUUUUGUUUUAAUAAUAACAGCUUUUUAUUCAGUUUCUUUUGCUUUGAAAGAUUAGCUAUUAAGUUGGUUUUUAAGCGUAGCUUUUAAUGCAAUUUCUAAUUCAAUAGUUGGUAGUUUAGUUUUAAAGAUAAUCUGGUUUUCCUCUUUCUUGUUGAUUAGUUUUUGAAAGUUCUUUGGUUUUCUUUUUUUUUUUCAAUAAAGAAAUAGAAACAGUU